CUACGGGCCGCAGCAGUGGGGAAUAUUGCACAAUGGAGGAAACUCUGAUGCAGCAACGCCGCGUGGAGGAUGACACUUUUCGGAGCGUAAACUCCUUUUAUAUAGGAAGAAGAUGACGGUACUAUAUGAAUAAGCGCCGGCUAACUCCGUGCCAGCAGCCGCGGUAAUACGGAGGGCGCAAGCGUUACUCGGAAUCACUGGGCGUAAAGAGCGUGUAGGCGGAUUAAAAAGUCAGAAGUGAAAUCCUAUAGCUUAACUAUAGAACUGCUUCUGAAACUCUUAAUCUAGAAUAUGGGAGAGGUAGAUGGAAUUUCUGGUGUAGGGGUAAUAUCCGUAGAGAUCAGAAGGAAUACCGAUUGCGAAGGCGAUCUACUAGAACAUUAUUGACGCUGAGACGCGAAAGCGUGGGGAGCAAACAGGAUUAGAUACCCCGGUAGUC
rnacentral:rRNA from 1 species